rnacentral:rRNA from 1 species
CUACGGGUUGCAGCAGUGGGGAAUAUUGCACAAUGGGCGCAAGCCUGAUGCAGCAACGCCGCGUGAGGGAUGAAGGCCUUCGGGUUGUAAACCUCUUUUAGCAGGGAAGAAGCGAAAGUGACGGUACCUGCAGAAAAAGCACCGGCUAACUACGUGCCAGCAGCCGCGGUAAUACGUAGGGUGCAAGCGUUGUCCGGAAUUAUUGGUCGUAAAGAGCUCGUAGGCGGUUUGUCACGUCUGCUGUGAAAAUCCAAGGCUCAACCUUGGACUUGCAGUGGGUACGGGCAGGCUAGAGUGCGGUAGGGGAGAUGGGAAUUCCUGGUGUAGCGGUGGAAUGCGCAGAUAUCAGGAGGAACACCAAUGGCGAAGGCACAUCUCUGGGCCGUAACUGACGCUGAGGAGCGAAAGCGUGGGGAGCGAACAGGAUUAGAUACCCGUGUAGUC